GAUGAACGCUAGCGGCAGGCUUAACACAUGCAAGUCGAGGGGUAGGAGAAGCUUGCUUUUCUGAGACCGGCGCACGGGUGCGUAACGCGUAUGCAAUCUACCUUUCACAGAGGGAUAGCCCAGAGAAAUUUGGAUUAAUACCUCAUAGUAAUACGACUUGGCAUCAAGAUGUAUUUAAAGAUUUAUCGGUGAAAGAUGAGCAUGCGUCCCAUUAGCUAGUUGGUAUGGUAACGGCAUACCAAGGCAACGAUGGGUAGGGGUCCUGAGAGGGAGAUCCCCCACACUGGUACUGAGACACGGACCAGACUCCUACGGGAGGCAGCAGUGAGGAAUAUUGGACAAUGGGCGCAAGCCUGAUCCAGCCAUGCCGCGUGCAGGAUGACGGUCCUAUGGAUUGUAAACUGCUUUUAUACAGGAAGAAACCCCUCUACGUGUAGAGACUUGACGGUACUGUAAGAAUAAGGAUCGGCUAACUCCGUGCCAGCAGCCGCGGUAAUACGGAGGAUCCAAGCGUUAUCCGGAAUCAUUGGGUUUAAAGGGUCCGUAGGCGGUCAGAUAAGUCAGUGGUGAAAGCCCAUCGCUCAACGGUGGAACGGCCAUUGAUACUGUCUGACUUGAAUUAUUAGGAAGUAACUAGAAUAUGUAGUGUAGCGGUGAAAUGCUUAGAGAUUACAUGGAAUACCAAUUGCGAAGGCAGGUUACUACUAAUAUAUUGACGCUGAUGGACGAAAGCGUGGGUAGCGAACAGGAUUAGAUACCCUGGUAGUCCACGCCGUAAACGAUGGAUACUAGCUGUUGGGCGCAAGUUCAGUGGCUAAGCGAAAGUGAUAAGUAUCCCACCUGGGGAGUACGAACGCAAGUUUGAAACUCAAAGGAAUUGACGGGGGCCCGCACAAGCGGUGGAGCAUGUGGUUUAAUUCGAUGAUACGCGAGGAACCUUACCAAGGCUUAAAUGUAGUUUGACCGUUUGGAAACAGAACUUCGCAG
rnacentral:rRNA from 1 species